GCCGUGGUAGUAGAUUUAAUAUAUCCGGUUUAGGCCCGGGAGAAGGGGUAAGACCCCCCACGGUU
rnacentral:tRNA from 1 species